rnacentral:lncRNA from 1 species
AUGCCCUUGCAACCAGAAAAAGCUGGCAAACUGAAAAUCAUUGUCUUUUCUUACACCUGUCGGAGAACUGAGGUCACAAAGAAAACUGCCACCGUGAAACCCGGAAAGGCAGGUGAAUCCAGAGGACCUGCUUAUACGGAAUGGAAGCUGGUGGAGCCCGUUAACAGGAACCACAGACCUGAGUCGUCGGUUGUCCAUGGUUUGAAAAGAGAUGUCUCGCAUACAUUGUUCACUUUCUACUUGUUUAUGGUGGUCCCUUUUAGUCCAGUUAUCUGCAAUGGGAAGUCUUUCUCUUUAUGAUAUUCUUUUAGUCAGGUGAAACUCAGUGUGAAUAAAGGAUUCCGACAGUUCCUGUUAAGGUCGAAC